CUCUCAUUUCCAGCAAUGAAUCCCAAGAAUACCUACUGAAACAACUAGUCCCAAGAAUAUCUACUGAAACUUCAAACCUGUGUUUGGAGGCAGUUCUGGGAUGAAUGAAGGGGGGAAAGCUGAAAUGAAAUCCAGGUGACUGUCUAAAUGCAGACAUUAGUGGGAUGAGCGGGAGAAGGUGGCUGGGCCGUGUGGAAUGAAAAAGCCUCUAAGUGGAGCAACUAGGCAACCAUCCAAAACGUCCAGAGACAAAACUGUUCCCCAGCCUCAGUGCCAUACAGACCACAAGUGAGGCCUACAACAGCAGCAAUGGCAAGUGGGAAGUCUGCUGUUCUACUCUUCAUCCUUGUGUGGCUCCUGUGCAGUUUCAAGCAUGUUACAGAGGGAAAUAUAAAAUGGGCACAGCCAUACCCAGCAUGAAGAUGCAGUGACAGACAAGGCUAGUGAACUCCUCUGCCUGUCAUGCAGAUUGCAAAGGCAAAGGAGCUGUGUGGCAAGAAAGAAGUUAGCAACCUCAUUCUUUGAUGCUGUCAAAUCAAAUAAGCAAAUUAAA